rnacentral:rRNA from 1 species
GGGCUUGACAUCCCACGAACCUGUGGAAACACGGGAGUGCCUUCGGGAGCGGAGAGACAGGUGGUGCAUGGUUGUCGUCAGCUCGUGUCGUGAGAUGUUGGGUUAAGUCCCGCAACGAGCGCAACCCUUGUCCCCUGUUGCCAUCAGGUCAGGCUGGGCACUCUGGGGAGACUGCCGGUGACAAACCGGAGGAAGGUGGGGAUGACGUCAAGUCAGCAUGGCCUUGAUGUCUGGGGCCACACACGUGCUACAAUGGCCGGUACAAACCGUGGCGAGCCCGCGAGGGGGAGCUAAUCGGAAAAAGCCGGUCUCAGUUCGGAUCGCAGGCUGCAACUCGCCUGCGUGAAGGUGGAAUCGCUAGUAAUCGCAGAUCAGCACGCUGCGGUGAAUACGUUCCCGGGCCUUGUACACACCGCCCGUCACAUCACGAAAGCUGGCUGUACUCGAAGUCGCUGAG